CAAACGCACUCUGGAGAGUCUCCGCACAUCGGAGCGCCGAAGGUGUACAGCAGGUAACUGCCAAUCUCUCAGGCAAAAGGACAGAGCAUCACAA
rfam:Clostridium sp. CAG:510 genomic scaffold, scf40